rnacentral:rRNA from 1 species
CCUGGUUGAUUCUGCCAGUAGUCAUAUGCUUGUCUCAAAGAUUAAGCCAUGCAUGUCUAAGUAUAAGCAAUUAUACCGUGAAACUGCGAAUGGCUCAUUAAAUCAGUUAUCGUUUAUUUGAUAAUACCUUACUACUUGGAUAACCGUGGUAAUUCUAGAGCUAAUACAUGCUGAAAAUCCCGACUUCGGAAGGGAUGUGUUUAUUAGAUAAAAAACCAAUGCCCUUCGGGGCUCCUUGGUGAUUCAUAAUAACUUUACGGAUCGCAUAGCCUUGCGCUGGCGACGGUUCAUUCAAAUUUCUGCCCUAUCAACUUUCGAUGGUAAGGUAUUGGCUUACCAUGGUUUCAACGGGUAACGGGGAAUUAGGGUUCGAUUCCGGAGAGGGAGCCUGAGAAACGGCUACCACAUCCAAGGAAGGCAGCAGGCGCGCAAAUUACCCAAUCCCGAUUCGGGGAGGUAGUGACAAUAAAUACUGAUACAGGGCUCUUUUGGGUCUUGUAAUUGGAAUGAGUACAAUUUAAACCUCUUAACGAGGAACAAUUGGAGGGCAAGUCUGGUGCCAGCAGCCGCGGUAAUUCCAGCUCCAAUAGCGUAUAUUAAAGUUGUUGCAGUUAAAAAGCUCGUAGUUGAAACUUGGGUCUGGCUGGCGGGUCCGCCUCACCGCGUGCACUCGUCCGGCCGGGCCUUCCUUCUGAAGAACCUCAUGCCCUUUACUGGGCGUGUUGGGGAAUCAGGACUUUUACUUUGAAAAAAUUAGAGUGUUCAAAGCAGGCCUUUGCUCGAAUACGUUAGCAUGGAAUAAUAAAAUAGGGCGUGCGUUUCUAUUUUGUUGGUUUCUAGAGACGCCGCAAUGAUUAACAGGAACAGUCGGGGGCAUCAGUAUUCAGUUGUCAGAGGUGAAAUUCUUGGAUUUACUGAAGACUAACUACUGCGAAAGCAUUUGCCAAGGAUGUUUUCAUUAAUCAGUGAACGAAAGUUAGGGGAUCGAAGACGAUCAGAUACCGUCGUAGUCUUAACCGUAAACUAUGCCGACUAGGGAUCGGGCGAUGUUCUUUUUCUGACUCGCUCGGCACCUUACGAGAAAUCAAAGUUUUUGGGUUCUGGGGGGAUUAUGGUCGCAAGGCUGAAACUUAAAGAAAUUGACGGAAGGUCACCACCAGGCGUGGAGCCUGCGGCUUAAUUUGACUCAACACGGGGAAACUCACCAGGUUCAGAUGAAAUAAGGAUUGACAGAUUGAGAGCUCUUUCUUGAUUUUUCAGGUGGUGGUGCAUGGCCGUUCUUAGUUCGUGGGGUGACUUGUCUGCUUAAUUGCGAUAACGAGCGAGACCUUACUCUGCUAAAUAGCCAGGCUAGCUUUGGCUGGUCGCCGGCUUCUUAGAGAGACUAUCAACUCAAGUUGAUGGAAGUUUGAGGCAAUAACAGGUUAACCUACACAGGCCUGUAACAGUGGGCCUCGUUAAAGAUAACUGCUAGUCUAGCGUCUUAACCUUCUUUGGGGAAGUCCCCUACUGUCGGGAGAAGGCAAGUUUUACUUGUGACGUAGGCAACACCACCUGGUACAGGGAAC